rnacentral:rRNA from 1 species
GAGUUGAUCUGGCUCAGAACUAACGCUAGCGGCGUGCCUAACACAUGCAAGUCGGACGAGAAAGUCCCGUUCGCGGGAUGAGUACAGUGGCGCACGGGUGAGUAACGCGUGGAUAAUCUGCCCUCGAGUGGGGAAUAACUCCGCGAAAGCGGAGCUAAUACCUCAUAAAACUUGUCAACCCUGGUUGAUCAGUCAAAGAUGGCCUCUCGAAGAAGCUGUCGCUUGAGGAUGAGUCCGCGUACCAUUAGCUUGUUGGUAGGGUAAUGGCCUACCAAGGCGACGAUGGUUAGCUGGUCUGAGAGGACGAUCAGCCACACUGGAACUGAGACACGGUCCAGACUCCUACGGGAGGCAGCAGUGAGGAAUCUUGCGCAAUGGGGGAAACCCUGACGCAGCAACGCCGCGUGAGUGAGGAAGGCCUUCGGGUCGUAAAGCUCUGUCAGGUGGGAAGAAAUGUACAGCAGUUAAUACCUGUUGUGUUUGACGGUACCACCAGAGGAAGCACCGGCAAACUCCGUGCCAGCAGCCGCGGUAAUACGGGGGGUGCAAGCGUUGUUCGGAAUUACUGGGCGUAAAGCGCGUGUAGGCGGCUGAGCAAGUCAGAUGUGAAAGUCCUGGGCUCAACCCAGGAAGCGCAUUUGAUACUGUUCGGCUCGAGUAAGGGAGAGGAAGGUGGAAUUCCUGGUGUAGAGGUGAAAUUCGUAGAUAUCAGGAGGAACACCAGUGGCGAAGGCGGCCUUCUGGCCCUAUACUGACGCUGAGACGCGAAAGCGUGGGGAGCAGACAGGA